rnacentral:lncRNA from 1 species
CUUUACUUUAGGCUCUCAAGCCCUCCAAAAUUUCAUUUUUCCCCUUCAAAUUCAGUUCGAAUUCGAAAUCUAUUUACAUUGGCAAAAAUCAAAUCUUAUCCCCAAAAUCUUUAUCUCAACCCCUUUCUGGGUCAAGUAGUAGCGUUCCAAUUCCGAUUCCAAUUUCAAACUCAUACAUGUAAGAGGAUGUGGAAUUUUUGAAGGAAUAACAACCGAAUCAAAAUCACCAUUGUUAUUGUUCUUCCCAAUUUCCACAUCGUUUCAUUCAUGGCAUUGGCAGCAGACAAAAUUAACAACACAAACCAAAUUACUGACACCAACCAUCGACAACAUCAGCGGCAAAUUACUGAAAGCAAUCAUCUUUUUGGUUUGAUUUCUGUUUUGCUGUAUGUUUUUUGAGUUGUAGUUUUUGUAGCCUUUUUUUAUUGUUGCUAUGGUGUAGGAGAUGUUCACUGUGGUGUCUUUCUUUGGGAAUACAAAAUCAGAAUGUUUCUAAAGCAAAAUUGGUUCAGAAUCUACAUUCCGAAUCAAAACUAAGUUCCAAAUGUAAAUUCUGAACUGAGUUUUUUUUUUUUU